GCAGCGUGGCGCGACAGGCAAACGCGGAUCAUCAGUUGACUUUGAACGACGCCUUGCCGCGCUUGUGCCCGUCUGGGAGUGAAUAUUACGUGCGUGUUACGCAUCUCUCGGUCUCUCCCUCCGAGACCAUUAGCAAAUAGUGUUGAUCGCAAGUAAAACAACGCUGACUCGAGUGUUUGACGAUGACGUGGCAAUACCGACCAUACAGUGCCUCACUGCUGCGUCGCUGACUUUCUUUAAUCUUAUACAAAACGGCACUGUGGCUUUCAAGUUCAAGGUUACGUCGCUGGAAAAAUUGAAGACAGCUACGUUGAGUUACAACAGAUAUAAUAUCCUUCGCACAUUCGAAUUAAGAGUCACAUAAAACGGCGGCAGCGCGGAGAGUCGACGACGAGGGGCGCCACAGGGAGAGAAGAGGACGUCGAACGUAGGGAGCUGCUGCUGCGAGAGAAACAGAGAGAAAAGAUAUGCCGGCUGGCGAGCAGAUGGUUGCUCCGUUUAUUGGUUUAUUCGCUGGCGGCGGCUCGGCCCACGAGCUCUCUCUCUCUCUCUCUCUCUCUCUCCGUUCCCCUUAGUGCUGUUGCUGUUGAACGGGAGUGCCGCCGCUGUCGUCCGGCACCUUUUUUUAAUGUCGAGAGAGAGAGAGAGAGAGGCCCCCAGGCUAAGGAGCAGACGAGUGAACGAGACCGAGUCGCGCGAUCACAACUGCACACGUAGACUCAGACAGGAGAGAGCUGGGAAGAGAGCAAUGUCUGGCACAGUCCAUACACGCGCGAGAGGAGAGGAGAAGAUAUUCGUCGAGGGCGCGAUGAAAGCUGGUGGAUGAGAUGGCACACAUAGACGCGCGCACAGGUUGGCAAGACAGCGGUAGCGUCACAUUGGCCUAGUAGAAGUGUAUCAUCUCGUAACCGCCUCACUUCGUGCGUUGCAUAGCUGGCAAGAAAAGUAGCGUGCAGAAAAGGACCUGUACCGUUUAUAACAAGAUGAAGGUGCAUCGCAGACCAGCCAGAGAAAGAUUGGCUGUGUCAUCCUCGGCCCGUUAACGUCAGUCCUCUCAAGGCGGUCCCUUCGCCGCACGCGCCCUAUCAAUCAAUAUCGACCAAGCAGGUGUAAGCCAAUCACUGCCAUUGUGUCGGACAAAUUAUUUUUUUUAUUCUUUCUUUGUCGUCGUUGUACGCGUGCCAUUGUAUAUUUUGUAAGCGAUAAGCAAGCUCUUAUUAAUGUUUUGACAGAGAAAGUUUGUCUAUAUAAGAUGUGCAUUAGUCUUUCUACUUUUCCAUGUGAGAGAUGCAGUUUUAAAGAGGUCACUCCAUCGGCUUGCUAUACGUCAGUGUAAUUGAUCGUUGAUUCUUUUUUUAUCUGUUGCUAAUUAGUUAUCGUGAUGGAUAGACUGAUUGAAUCGACGUAUGUUUAAAUCCUUGACGAAGGCAUCGAAUACUUUUUCAGUAUUUUUAAAUGUAUUACACGGAAAUUUCUCCUUUGAAAGCCGACUGUAUAGAAUGAAGAUUUUUUUCAUCCCAACCAUAUUAGUUUUUUAAUGAAACCUCGUCAAUAUAAUAUAAUAAAGUA